UACGAAGGGGCUAGCGUUGCUCGGAAUCACUGGGCGUAAAGGGUGCGUAGGCGGGUCUUAAGUCAGGGGUGAAAUCCUGGAGCUCAACUCCAGAACUGCCUUUGAUACUGAGGAUCUUGAGUUCGGGAGAGGUGAGUGGGAACUGCGAGUGUAGAGGUGAAAUUCGUAGAUAUUCGCAAGAACACCAGUGGCGAAGGCGGCUCACUGGCCCGAUACUGACGCUGAGGCACGAAGCGUGGGGA
rnacentral:rRNA from 1 species